AAAUCAAUAUGAUCUUUAGUUGUCUCCUCCUCCUCCCCCUCCGAAUCAAAUUCAAUGGGAUCCCGAGAAACCAUGUAUUCAUCCAUAGGAUCCCACGUACCCGGAUCGAUCAAAAGAGUGUGUAGGGAAAAAGUGUC